rnacentral:rRNA from 1 species
GACGAACGCUGGCGGCGUGCUUAACACAUGCAAGUCGAACGGUGAAGGGACCAGCUUGCUGGUUCUGGAUGAGUGGCGAACGGGUGAGUAACACGUGAGUAACCUGCCCCCUUCUUCUGGAUAACCGCAUGAAAGUGUGGCUAAUACGGGAUAUUCUGGGUCUGUCGCAUGGCGGGCCCGGGAAAGAUAUUGCUUCGGUGGGGGAUGGGCUCGCGGCCUAUCAGCUUGUUGGUGGGGUGAUGGCCUACCAAGGCGGUGACGGGUAGCCGGCCUGAGAGGGUGGACGGUCACACUGGGACUGAGACACGGCCCAGACUCCUACGGGAGGCAGCAGUGGGGAAUAUUGCACAAUGGGCGCAAGCCUGAUGCAGCGACGCCGCGUGAGGGAUUGAGGCCUUCGGGUUGUAAACCUCUUUCGCCAGUGAAGCAGGCCUGCUCCUUGUGGGUGGGUUGACGGUAGCUGGAUAAGAAGCGCCGGCUAACUACGUG